UUACCAGGUCUUGACGUCCUACGGACCCUGAUGAAAGUUGGGUGUGCCUUCGGGAGCGUAGAGACAGGUGGUGCAUGGUUGUCGUCAGCUCGUGUCGUGAGAUGUUGGGUUAAGUCCCGCAACGAGCGCAACCCUUGCUAUUAGUUGCUAACAGGUUAAGCUGAGCACUCUAAUGGGACUGCCGGUGACAAGCCGGAGGAAGGUGGGGAUGACGUCAAAUCAUCAUGCCCUUUAUGACCUGGGCUACACACGUGCUACAAUGGAUGGUACAGAGAGCUGCAAUGCCGCGAGGUGGAGCGAAUCUCAAAAAGCCAUUCUCAGUUCGGAUUGUAGUCUGCAACUCGACUACAUGAAGUCGGAAUCGCUAGUAAUCGCGAAUCAGCAUGUCGCGGUGAAUGCGUUCCCGGGCCUUGUACACACCGCCCGUCACACCACGAAAGUCGGCAACACCCGAAGCCAGUGAGCUAACUAGUAAUAGAGGCAGCUGUCGAAGGUGGGGUUGGUGAUUGGGGUGAAGUCGUAACAAGGUAGCC
rnacentral:rRNA from 1 species